CGCCUGUUUAACAAAAACAUGUCUUUUUGUUUAUAAUAUAAAGUCUAAUCUGCCCAUUGAUGAAAAUUAAAAGGCCGCGGUAUUUUGACCGUGCAAAGGUAGCAUAAUCAAUAGUUUCUUAAUUAGGAGCUUGAAUGAAUGAUUGAAUGAAAUAUAGACUGUCUUUAUAAUAUUGUUAUAGAAAUUAAUUUUUAAGUUAAAAAGCUUAAAUUUGUUUAAAGGACGAGAAGACCCUUUAAAGCUUUAUAUAGAAUUAUAAAUAAUAUUAAUUAGAUUUAAAUUAUAUUAUAAUUAUAUAUUUUAUUGGGGUGAUAGGAAAAUUUAUAAAACUUUUUUUUUUAAUAAAACAAUUAUUAUUGAAAUAUUGAUCUAUAAAUUGUGAUUAAAAGAUUAAGUUACUUAAGGGAUAACAGCGUAAUAUUUUUUGAGAGAACUAAUCGACAAAAAAGAUUGCGACCUCGAUGUUGGAUUAAGAUAAUUUUUAGGUGUAGCAGUUUAAAAAUUUGGUCUGUUCGACCAUUUAUUCUUACAUGAUCUGAGUUCAAACCGGAGA
rnacentral:rRNA from 1 species